CCUACGGGCGGCAGCAGUGGGGAAUAUUGGGCAAUGGGCGCAAGCCUGACCCAGCAACGCCGCGUGAAGGAAGAAGGCUUUCGGGUUGUAAACUUCUUUUCUCAGGGACGAAGCAAGUGACGGUACCUGAGGAAUAAGCCACGGUUAACUACGUGCCAGCAGUCGCGGUAAUACGUAGGUGGCAAGCGUUAUCCGGAUUUACGGGGUGUAAAGGGCGUGUAGGCGGGAAAGCAAGUCAGAUGUGAAAACCAUGGGCGCAACCUGUGGCCUGCAUUUGAAACUGUUUUUCUUGAGAACUGGAGAGGCAGACGGAAUUCCUAGUGUAGCGGUGAAAUGCGUAGAUAUUAGGAAGAACACCAGUGGCGAAGGCGGUCUGCUGGACAGCAACUGACGCUGAGGCGCGAAAGCGUGGGGAGCAAACAGGAUUAGAUACCCCAGUAGUC
rnacentral:rRNA from 1 species